GAUGAACGCUAGCUACAGGCUUAACACAUGCAAGUCGGGGGGUAACGUGAGGAAAGCUUGCUUUCCUUGUCGACGACCGGCGCACGGGUGAGUAACGCGUAUCCAACCUGCCCCCAACUAGGGAAUAACCUUGCGAAAGCAAGACUAAUACCCUAUAAUUUCCUCAGAUGUCAUCUGACGAGGAAUAAAGAUUUAUCGGUUGUGGAUGGGGAUGCGUCUGAUUAGCUUGUUGGCGGGGUAACGGCCCACCAAGGCAACGAUCAGUAGGGGUUCUGAGAGGAAGGUCCCCCACAUUGGAACUGAGACACGGUCCAAACUCCUACGGGAGGCAGCAGUGAGGAAUAUUGGUCAAUGGGCGGAAGCCUGAACCAGCCAAGUAGCGUGCAGGAUGACGGCCCUAUGGGUUGUAAACUGCUUUUAUACAGGAAUAAAGUUAGCCACAUGUGGUUAUUUGUAGGUACUGUAUGAAUAAGGACCGGCUAAUUCCGUGCCAGCAGCCGCCGUAA
rnacentral:rRNA from 1 species